CUUACCAAUAUUUCUUGUAUGCACUUCACCUUUUUGUGAACCUCUUAUACUUUUGUCAGACCAAAGGCGAGGGGCUUCGGGUCCUUAGCUUGGUUUUCUUUCCUCUUUUCUCCCUUCAAAUCUUCCAUUUUUCCCUUUAAAAUUUAUUCAUGUACAUAUAAUACACACAUUACUCAUCAAGGUACAAUCUUUCUUUAAUUCUCUUCACUUUAUUGCAGUUCUUAAAUAUAUGAUUUCCAAUUGGAUCAAACCCUUGAUUCCUGUAAAUUUUUGGAGUCCUUUGCAAGAGAUCUGUUCUUGAGACAAUUCAUGAUCUGGGUUUUGCACGUUGUCUAAUAUUCUUCGAUUUUGACGCUUUUCAACAAUCUUGAUAUUUGUUCUGUGAAUUUUAAGAUUUGGUGAUUAUUCUGAUUGUAUUUGGUUGAUUUUAGUGGAUGUUUU
rnacentral:lncRNA from 1 species